ensembl:lncRNA
GGCAUCCCUGGGGGGAGCUCCUCUGAUCCCCCCCACCCCCCAGGAUAGAAGUGCCUUUAUAAGAGUUACUGAUGGCGUCAUCGCCCCACUUGAACCAGAUGCCCUCACCAACCUCCAUGCAAUUGAAGAUGAUGGAGAACAUUGUCUGCGGCAUUCGAAAGGGAAGAGGAAAGGCCUAUUGAGGAUGAAAUCGAAUCCAAUGAGAGGCCAUCCACUUCUAAAUCACAGCUUACCUCUGUAAGAUUCUCCCUGGAAUUAUAAUGAAACGCUCUACUUGGCACUGUGAAAUCCAAUCUCAUCUUUUGCAUUCCUAUAGCUUCCAGUCAAAGACUUAUAUAAAAUCUAUCUAGAAAAGCAAAUACACAAAGCAGACUUGGAAAUGGACCGCCUUAG